UAGGCGUAAAUGAUGUGAGUUAAGUGUGGGGCGUCUACGAGAUGGCCCUGUGCUGUAGGGUAGCCGUUAAACUCGCUGCCUGGGAGUACGGUCGCAAGGCUGAAACUUAAAGGAAUUGGCGGGGGAGCACCACAAGAGGUGGAGGCUGCGGUUCAAUUGGACUCAACGCCGGAAAACUCAUCGGGAGCGACGGCAGUAUGAUUGCCAGGUUGAUCGACCUUGCCUGACAAGCUGAGAGGUGGUGCAUGGCGUAGUCGUGU
rnacentral:rRNA from 1 species